rnacentral:lncRNA from 14 species
CAGACCAUGAAGAAGUUCUUGGAUAAGUGCAGUCGGAGGUCUUCUUCCUCUGGCUCCUCCACCAGCCAGAGGCAGUCCUCACAGAGCCCGGAGCAGCAGUGUUGGAGAACUUCUAGCCUCGCUUCUCCCAGACAGCUCAAAAACUACAAAGCCUUUGGAAAGAUCUACAAGGCUGCAUGCCAGGGUGAUGUUACCGCGGUUCAGCUCUGUCUCGAACGUGGAAAAAAAGGCGUCAAUGACCGAGACAGAAAUGACAGAACUCUUUUGCACUAUGCUUGUGCAUACGGUCAUCCUGAUAUAGUGACCCUCCUAAUAUCGUGGAAUUGUGACCUUAAUCUCCGUGACAGUGACAACAGCACGGCACUAAUUAAGGCUUCACAGUAUAAGCAAGAAGAAUGUGCGACCAUUUUACUAAAACAUGGUGCUGAUGUAAAUGCUACGGACAAGAAUAGGAACACAGCAUUGCACUAUGCUGUUUGGUUUAACAACACCUCAAUGACAGCCAAUCUGCUGGUACACAAUGCUGAUAUCACUAUAAGGAAUGAGGAUAACUUUACACCUGUCAUUGUGGCUCUAUUAAAAAACAACGAAUGUGUGUCACAGUUUUUAGACAAGAAAGCCCAAGUACCACCAGAAGCUGAUGAACUGGGCAGCGACUCCAGCAGAUCUGACCACUCUAGUUCCAAUCACUCAUCAAAGGAUGAAAACACGUCCCAGGAGUCUAGUGCCAAGUUACAAACAGAUACUUCAAGUACAGAAGAGGAGGUGGAAGAUCGGUUACAGAGACCGAAAUGUGAAAAUCUGAAGCCAAGAGUUAAAAGAAAACAUCAAACAGAAGAAUCAGAACAGCCUCAGACAAUCUUCGGUGGUACACGUUGGGAAGGACUUAAUCCAGUUAUUACGGCUCUUAUAAGAUACAACAAUCAGAACCUGAAAAGGAUUUUAGCAGAAGAGACCCAGACACCAAAGGAAGCUGAUGAACUGGGCAGAUCUGACCACUGUAGUUCCAAUCACUCAUCAAAGGAUGAAAACACGGCCCAGGAGUCUAGUCCCAAGUCACGAACAGAUGCUCCAAGUAGAGAAGAGGACAUGCGAAAUCGAUUAGAGAGACUGGAACAUAGGUUUCAGAAGCUAAAAGAUAAAAGACAACAUCAAUUAGAAGAAUUAGAACAGCCUCAGAUGACCUUGGAUGGUACAAGUGGGGCCCAGACAUUUAGCUCCCAGUCACAAACAGAUGCUGCAAGUAGAGAAGAGGACAUGCUGGAGCAGCUAGAGAGACUGAAACGUGACUUUCUGCAGCUAAAAGUUAAAAUAGAAUGUCAAACAGAAGAAUUAGAACAUCCUCAGAUGACCUUGGAUGGUACAAGUGGGGCCCAGAUGUUUAGCUCCCAGUCACGAAAAGAUGCUGCAAGUAGAGAAGAGGACAUGCUGGAGCAGCUAGAGAGACUGGAACGUAGGUGUCAGAAGCUAAAAGUUGAAAGACAACGUCAAAUAGAAGAAUUAGGACAGCCUCAGAUGACCUUGGAUGGUACAAGUGGGGCCCAGACGUUUAACUCCCAGUCACGAAAAGAUGCUGCAAGUAGAGAAGAGGACAUGCUGGAGCAGCUAGAGAGAUUGAAUCGUGACUUUCUGCAGCUAAAAGUUAAAAUAAAAUGUCCAAUAGAAGAAUUAGAAAAGCCUCACGAUGACCUUGGAUGGUACAAGUGGGGAAGUUAGGUGCAUUCAGAAUACCAUUUUCUUUU